CCUGCGGAAGGAUCAUUAUCCAUCUCAAACCAGGUGCGGUCGCGGCCCCCGGGGGCUUGCUCCCGGGUGGUAGGGGUAACACCCUCACGCUCCGCCUGCCUGUACCCUCUUUUUACGAGCACCUUUCGUUCUCCUUCGGCGGGGCAACCUGCCGCUGGAACCAAAACAAACCCUUUUUUGCAUCUAGCAUUACCUGUUCUGAUACAAACAAUCGUUACAACUUUCAACAAUGGAUCUCUUGGCUCUGGCAUCGAUGAAGAACGCAGCGAAAUGCGAUAAGUAGUGUGAAUUGCAGAAUUCAGUGAAUCAUCGAAUCUUUGAACGCACAUUGCGCCCCUUGGUAUUCCGUGGGGCAUGCCUGUUCGAGCGUCAUCUACACCCUCAAGCUCUGCUUGGUGUUGGGCGUCUGUCCCGCCUCUGCGCGCGGACUCGCCCCAAAUUCAUUGGCAGCGGUCUUUGCCUCCUCUCGCGCAGCACRAAUUGCGUCUGCGAGGGGGCGUGGCCCGCGUCCACGAAGCAACAUUACCGUCUUUGACC
rnacentral:rRNA from 1 species